GACGAGCGCUUGCGACGUGCCUAAGAAAUGCAAGUCGAACGGGGUAGCAAUACCUAGUGGCGAACGGUCGCGUAACACGUGGGCAACCUGCCCUGAAGCGGGGGACAACAAGUCGAAAGAUUUGCUAAUACCGCAUGUGUCUCGCUGCGGCAUCGCAGAGGAGACAAAGCCGCAAGGCACUUCAGGAUGGGCCCGCGGCCUAUCAGCUUGUUGGUGAGGAACGGCCCACCAAGGCUUCGACGGGUAGCUGGUCUGAGAGGACGAUCAGCCGGAUUGGGACUGAGAUACGGCCCAGACUCCUACGGGGGGCAGCAAUUAGGAAUCUUGCACAAUGGGCGAAAGCCUGAUGCAGCGACGUCGCGUGAAGGAUGAAA
rnacentral:rRNA from 1 species